UACAGAGGGUGCGAGCGUUAAUCGGAAUUACUGGGCGUAAAGGGCGCGUAGGCGGAUGAUUAAGUGAGAUGUGAAAUCCCUGGGCUUAACCUAGGAACUGCAUCUUAUACUGGUGAUCUAGAGUACUGUUGAGGGUAGUGGAAUUUCCGGUGUAGCGGUGAAAUGCGUAGAGAUCGGAAGGAACACCAGUGGCGAAAGCGGCGCACUGGACCACAACUGACGCUGAGGCGCGAAAGCUAGGGGAGCAAACAGG
rnacentral:rRNA from 1 species